rnacentral:misc_RNA from 1 species
ACUUUCAGAUGAGCGCUAUAAAGGGACCCGUCUAAAACCUGCUCUCCUCUGAGGUCUUAUCUUUGUGAAGACGAUACAAUAUAGGGAUGUGGUCAUUAUCUGUUUUUUGUAUUCUUUCGAUCGGGUACGUGAGUUGUGAACAAAGAUGCCAGGGGUCGCCAAGAAUGUACAACGAAAAGCGAUGUGCUUCGACCACCCGAUACAACGACUACCACAAGGGGGCGUGCAAGUGUGGACCACCUUCCGGUGACAGCCAAUUCGGUUGGAAUCACGACCACUUCGUCACUGCCCCCAAUCAGAUGUUUUUUGAUGAAGGAUACAGCGGCAGGUGGUUACGUACCCGGACAAGGAAGUCCGACCCCCGCUGGUCAAUCACACGUCUUCAUGGUUACUAACCUGUGCCGCAACGUCUAUCCCAACCAGAACUGGUGCAACCAGGGCACCGGGCCCUAUGGAAACGGUCAUAACGACUACGGAUACGUCGCCCAUUUUGAUUUGGGAAAUGGAGCCAAUCAGAUCUCGCGCAUUGGUUGGAACAACCCGGAAGUGACGUGGGAGAUCGUCAGUUGUCAUGGAGCGAACACCCCCACGGAUGAAAUGUACCAACACUGCCAGUGUGCCCAUCACGGUAAACGUUCCCUCAACGAAUCAACGAACGGCUCGGAAAAUGGAUUCUGAUUCUGUUAUGCUUAUCAAAUUUAGUUUAAUAAAAAUUGUGUAAUAUUU